ensembl:lncRNA
UUUUGCCUUGUUUUGCACACUUUAAUCCUCCCUUCCGCGGUGCACGGUGUGUGCUCCCAUUCUUCCGCCCUCGUCUCUGUUUGUUCUGAUAACGAGCGCCGAGGCGCGCGAGGCCCAACCCGCAUGAGAGAAAGCGCGCACGGGAUGCUCCUUGUGUUUUCCGCUUCGAGCCAUAACGGCCUAUUUGUGUACGACAAUCUCACCCCGACACAUCGCCACUGACGCCUGGUUUUUAUUUUAGGCAAUGCGGAGUGCGCUUUCCCCAGAUGGAUCGGCCUGGUCCCCCAACAAGCUGGAGCCCGUGGGAGCACAUCAGUGUCCCGUCAGGGAAGACGUGAUGAAGAGGGAUGAGACUAGAGGAGGCGGUGAGGAAAUCAGCAGGAGAGAGAAGGAGGCGUGAAAUCCCGUAAUGGAUUCUGCUCAACGACUUACGGAUUACAGCAACAUCCGCAAUCGCAGGAGCGGUUGAAGGGAGCGUUCCUGAAGAACCCGCCAGAGCUUUUCACAACAAAAUAUCCAGCCGAGCACAGAAACUAGAUAGGUUUCCUUCUAAGGUCCAGUGAAUGCGUUGGGUGCCUUUCC